rnacentral:lncRNA from 1 species
UAUAUUAACACAAAAUAUAUAGCAAAAUGUGAAGAGAUUUGGUGUAGAAAAUAUAACACAUUUUUUUAAAGAAACUUGAGAAAAUAAAAUGCACAAAAGACCGGACAUUAUAAUACAUGUUAGACAUUUCAUGUUUAUAAUUUUUAAAAGACAUUUUUUAAUUUGAGCAUGUCCAGUAUUGAAAUACUUGAGGUAAAUAUAUUGCAACACUUUAACAAGAAAGUGCUUUUAAAUCUUG